GACGAACGCUGGCGGCGUGCUUAACACAUGCAAGUCGAACGGAAAGGCCCUGCUUUUGUGGGGUGCUCGAGUGGCGAACGGGUGAGUAACACGUGAGUAACCUGCCCUUGACUUUGGGAUAACUUCAGGAAACUGGGGCUAAUACCGGAUAGGAGCUCCUGCUGCAUGGUGGGGGUUGGAAAGUUUCGGCGGUUGGGGAUGGACUCGCGGCGUAUCAGCUUGUUGGUGGGGUAGUGGCUUACCAAGGCUUUGACGGGUAGCCGGCCUGAGAGGGUGACCGGCCACAUUGGGACUGAGAUACGGCCCAGACUCCUCCGGGAGGCAGCAGUGGGGAAUAUUGCACAAUGGGCGGAAGCCUGAUGCAGCAACGCCGCGUGCGGGAUGACGGCCUUCGUGUUGUAAACCGCUUUCGCCUGUGACGAAGCGUGAGUGACGGUAAUGUGUAAAGAAGCACCGGCUAACUACGUG
rnacentral:rRNA from 1 species